rnacentral:misc_RNA from 1 species
GGUAUUCCUGUGUUGCUUACCCGCGGAAAGGUAUUCGAUGGCUCUGGUGUCCCCAUCCGCCUUGCGCCCUUCGGGGUGCGGGGUGGACAAGAGGCGGGCUCCGUGUUCCCCGCGUGUCGAGUGCGUUGACGCUCGGCCGCUGUGGCCCAUGGGGUCUCGGCCCGUGCUCUCGGAUGCGGAAUGCUGUGUGUGGGCGUGGGGUCUCGGCCUCCACUCGUCCAAGCUGCACGCAUUGUCCCUUGACAUGAACGACCGCCGCGCCCGUCUUGAUCGGCCGACCGAGCCCCCCUCGCGGGGCUCCGGGAGGGCGGCUCAUGCGGGUGUCUGCGUCGGAGAGGAAUGC